rnacentral:rRNA from 1 species
UCGGUCAUACCACAAUGAAAACACCGGUUCUCGUCAAAUCACCGAAGUUAAGCAAUGUUGGGCCCGGUCAGUACUUGGGAGGGUGACCACCUGGGAACUACAGGGUGCUGAAGGCU